UACGAAGGGGGCUAGCGUUGCUCGGAAUCACUGGGCGUAAAGGGUGCGUAGGCGGGUUUUAAGUCAGAGGUGAAAUCCUGGAGCUCAACUCCAGAACUGCCUUGAUACUGAAAGUCUUGAGUAUGGGAGAGGUGAGUGGACUGCGAGUGUAGAGGUGAAAUUCGUAGAUAUUCGCAAGAACACCAGUGGCGAAGGCGGCUCACUGGCCCAUAACUGACGCUGAGGCACGAAAGCGUGGGGAGCAAACAGG
rnacentral:rRNA from 1 species